rnacentral:piRNA from 1 species
UCAACACUGAGAAAGUACAAAUGUGCUCAC